AGUGGCGCACGGGUGAGUAAUGCAUGGGUCAUCUGCCUCGUAGAGGGGGAUAACUACGCGAAAGUGUAGCUAAUACCGCAUACGCAGGAAACUGCAAAGGAGGGGAUCGCAAGACCUUCCGCUACGAGAUGAGCUCAUGUCCCAUUAGCUAGUUGGCGGGGUAACAGCCCACCAAGGCAGAGAUGGGUAGCUGGUCUGAGAGGACGAUCAGCCACACUGGAACUGAGACACGGUCCAGACUCC
rnacentral:rRNA from 1 species